rnacentral:rRNA from 1 species
CGUGCAGGCGGAUUGGAGAGUUGGAUGUGAAAGCUCCCGGCUUAACUGGGAGAGGUCGUUCAAUACUUCCAGUCUUGAGUGCAGUAGAGGGAAGUGGAAUUCCGGGUGUAGUGGUGAAAUGCGUAGAUAUCCGGAGGAACACCAGUGGCGAAAGCGGCUUCCUGGACUGUAACUGACGCUCAGACGCGAAAGCUAGGGUAGCAAACG